CAGCUGUGAGUCUGAACCUCUGUGGUGAACCAGCAGCAGCGCCGCAUUUAUGUGAUGGCUUUCUCCAGUGGAUACCAGCUACAGAGGGUGCUACAGAGGAAACAAAGGAGCCAGUAACCUCAGUGACUCUGCUGUGGACAGAUGGGCAAGAAAUUAGCUAAAGGUAAGAGCAGAACUUGAAAAAUA
rnacentral:lncRNA from 1 species